AAAUGAAGAGCAGAAACGCCCCCACUGUGACCUUACAACAAUGUCACACUGGACAAGACACCCGGCACCACAGGGCCUGAGCUGGCUGAAGCCCUUGUCACCACCCAGGGACUGCCCCAGGGCUCUCCAGCCCUCUUCUGAGCUUGCUAGAUGUGUUCUGCAGUGACAGUGACGCCUACCUCUCUCUCUGAGGGAUUUCAGAGACAAACACCCGGGCCACCAGAGUCCAUCCCACCCAGGAUCUCCAGAGCCAGCCCACUCCCCAUCGACUUGGUGAGCUCAAGAGUCUGAGAAAACAGCAAACAGGUACCCACGCAGCUAACCUGGCACCACAGGGAAGCCCUAGGAUGAUCUUUUUAAGACAAAAGCUCUUGCUGUCUUCACGACUAAACUACACAACCUUCUACUUACAAACAUGGAGGGACCUAACCACCGCAGCGCUGCAAUCGAAGCUUGCCAUUACGCUAAUUAGCUUUCCACCCGCUAGCAGCCCGGGUCCCAUCUGACUUCCCUCCCAUAUGACAACGAGGAGAACAAAGCUCGAGCAGCCUUCAGCCCACGGACAGUUUUACUUCGCGGAUUCCAAAGCGCGCUCGGCCACUUACAACGCGACCUCUGCUGACCAGGCGCGUCUUCUGGGGACCUUCUGUGAUGGAGGGAAAGUAACAAAGCAUACCUUCGCCCAAACCCCCGUUUUGCCAUCCCUCAACCGCACAAAGAAUGCUUUCUUCCACUCGUCUCCUCCAGGCCGUGGCUUAGCUGCAGUCCCGUCCCCCCCGCCCCCCGACCGUGGCUCCAGGCACUGCGUCCGCCCUUUCAUCGCAGCUUCUCUUAGCAUAACGGGUCCAGCUCCUGCCGCCCAUUUCCACCCGACGCCGCAGUCCGCAGCUCUCCGCAGGGCAGGCAGGCUCGCCAUCCCGGCCACCGCCGACGGCCGGGAGGAGCCCUACUCAGUGCCAUUGCUGCCCUUCAUUGUUUUCAAGCCAACUGCCAUCUUAUCAUCAUCCAUCCAUCUUACCACCCUGCACACGACGGCAGCAAACGCGUCCCCACGGGGCAUUCUAUGGAUUUCCGAAAGCAGCUAGCUAUUCUUUGCGGAUUUACCAACCACGCGCCUUUCCCGAAUCCCCCCCGCCCGCCCAUCGCCACGGAAACGGCUUUGUGAGGCCGGAAAAUAACAUUUUUUUUUUUUAAGUUCCUUUAAGGGACAAGGGACAGGCUCUUAAGAUUUUCGGCUUUCCUAGCACCUACUGGGCACAGCAGAGAGAGAAACGUCGGGAUAAAGAUCUUCAUAUGUA